GAAAUGCGAUAAGUAAUGUGAAUUGCAGAAUUCAGUGAAUCAUCGAAUCUUUGAACGCACAUUGCGCCCAUUAGUAUUCUAUUGGGCAUGCCUGUUCGAGCGUCAUUUUGACCACUUAAGCCUGGCUUAGUGUUGGGAAUCUACGUUUCGUAGUUCCUUAAAUCUAGUGGCGGAGCCGCAGUGGCCUCUGAGCGUAGUAAUUAUCAUCUCGCUUUGGAAGGUUCUGUAGUUUUUGCCGUUAAACCCCCAAUUUUUUAAGGUUGACCUCGGAUCAGGUAGGAAUACCCGCUGAACUUAA
rnacentral:misc_RNA from 1 species